rnacentral:rRNA from 1 species
GACCGCUCGUUUGAGGUUGGAGAUAUGGUAUUCCUCAAAUUACAGCCUUUUAUCCAGACAUCGGUGGCGCAACGCCCCUACCAGAAGCUGGCAUUCCGCUACUAUGGCCCUUACCGGAUCAUCGCCAGAGUUGGUGCGGUAGCCUACAAGCUCCAGCUGCCCGACGAUAGCAAAAUACAUCCUGUGGUGCAUGUGUCACAACUGAAAUGCAUGGUUGGACCAGAUGCUCGGGUGAGUCCUUCAUUACCAUCAGCUAACUCAGUUUUGCAGGCAGAACACCAGCCCGUGGCGAUCCAAGAUAACAAGCUGGUGCACGUCAAG